UACGUAGGGGGCAAGCGUUGUCCGGAAUCAUUGGGCGUAAAGAGCGCGUAGGCGGUCCGGUGAGUCCGCUCUGAAAGUCCGGGGCUCAACCCCGGGAGGCGGGCGGAUACUGUCGGGCUAGAGUCCGGAAGAGGCGAGUGGAAUUCCUGGUGUAGCGGUGAAAUGCGCAGAUAUCAGGAGGAACACCGAUGGCGAAGGCAGAUCUCUGGGCCGUAACUGACGCUGAGGAGCGAAAGCAUGGGGAGCGAACAGG
rnacentral:rRNA from 1 species